GACUAACGCUGGCGGCGUGCCUAACACAUGCAAGUCGAACGGUUCUGUUCGUGAUAGCAAUAUUGUGGACAGGAUAGUGGCGAACGGGUGAGUAACACGUAGGUAAUCUACCUUUUGGAUGGGAACAACUCAGGGAAACUUGAGCUAAUGCCCAAUAAGACCACGUUCCGGGAGGGAUGUGAUCAAAGGCGGGGCGAAAGUCUCGCGCCGGAAGAUGAGCCUGCGGCCUAUCAGCUAGUUGGCGGGGUAAAGGCCCACCAAGGCGAAGACGGGUAGCCGGCCUGAGAGGGCGAACGGCCACACUGGGACUGAGACACGGCCCAGACUCCUACGGGAGGCAGCAGUGAGGAAUAUUGGACAAUGGGCGCAAGCCUGAUCCAGCCAUGCCGCGUGGGUGAAGAAGGCCUUCGGUUGUAAGCCUUUGUCCGGAAGAAAGCACGGGAUUAAUACCCUCGUGUGAUGACGGUACCGGAAGAAUAAGCACCGGCUAACUCGUGCCAGCAGCCGACGG
rnacentral:rRNA from 1 species